rnacentral:lncRNA from 1 species
AAGACAUAACUAAUAACAUCUAUAAUUCUAGAUAAUAAAACUCUUCUGGCUUUUAAAAAUUGGAAGGUCUGUGGUAUUUCUCAGCUUUUUAAAAUUUGUAAUUUGGAAUGGUUUCUUUUUCCAUUUGAAACAUUCACUUUUGUACUUAUUUUUGCAUUCAUGAUUUUAAGAUUCUUUUUCCUAACUAUGGUUUUCUAAAUCUUGUGAGAUCAAGACUCUGGAAGCAAAAAUUACAUAAAGCCCUAUAAUCAAGUAUUAUAUUGUUCUUUAUCCUGUAUGAGUAAGAUACAAAGAAUUAUUCUUAAACUCACUGCUUCUAGAAAGCAUGUGGUUUUGAGAGACUCAUUCUUUUAUAUUGUAAAUUCUGUUAUCAAGGUCACUAACAAACAAUAUACUCAUAGUCUAUUAACCACCAGAUCUAAGGGCUUUUCCUUCAUCAACUUUUAUUCUAUUCAUAAAGGUGAAAUCAUGACUCAGCACUCAAUGUAGAUGACAGCUUGGUUUAAAAAAAUAAUUGAAAAUAUUCCAAAUGAAAUUAAAAAAAAAUUGACAUUUUAAAUAUCAUUAAAAAUUACUCUUUGAAAUAAUCAACUAUAGAGAGACAAGAUUCAUUUAAACUAGACUGAAUAGAAAAUUGGAGAUUACAAACAAAACAAACAGAAUAAAAUCCCUGAACUUGCUCUUAGAAUAGUAGUAAUUAUUCAGAAGAAAUAAAGUGGAGAAAAAUGAUAGAAAAACUUUUAAAAGUAGUAAAGGCCUACAGGAAAAAUAUUUACAGGUCUAACAUUGAUGUGCCCGAGCAGAAAAGAUAAAGAAUGGGUCUUCCAAAAGAAGUCAUAAAACUGGUAGAUAUUUCCUCAUUUUGAUGGCAUUCCUAAAAAUUACAAGACAUAACUAAGAACAUCUAUAAAUCUGAAAGAAUUUAUUUAAUCCAUGGAAAACAAUGUUUGGUCAAACAGUUUUGUUAACCAAAAAUCUUCAAAUUUUGUUUUAAAAUGCCAAAUUACAAAUUUAAGCAACUCUAAAAACUGACCAAAAAAAAGCAAGCAAACAAAUAACAACAACAUACACAAUAUUGCAAUUAAACUGCCUAAAACUAUUGUGGUAAGAUGGAGGAUAAAUAGAACAUUGAAUAUAGAUGCAACCACUACACACAUCCCUGACCUUUCUUUGGAGUCAAUGGAGGAAGGUCAAUGAGGAGCAGAAAAAUAAUAAAACUUCCACCCCAGAAUUUUAUAUCCAGCAAAAGUAUCC